UACAUUGCACCUUGGCAGAUCACAUGGGGUUCUGCUUUCCAUGCCUUCGCUCAGCCAUUCGCCGUUCCCCACUCAGCCAUGCUGUUUGUGCAAGCUGUGUUUUCAGCUCUCUUUUCCACUCCUCUCAACCCUGUGCUGGGCAGCGCUGUUUUCGUUACUUCAUACACCCGGCCUGUGAAGUUCUGGGAGCGAGACUACAACACCAAACGAGUGGAUCAUUCCAACACACGUCUGGCCACACAG